rnacentral:lncRNA from 1 species
AUGGUAACAUCAAGUGGUGAUGUUAACACAUCUAUGGAGCAUCUGUUGAAGAGGCAUCAAAAUAAGAGAAAAGUGAAUGAGGUGGUGUUUUCUCUCUUUGAGUCAUGCCUGCAGCUGAUCCCUUCAUUCAGAGAAGCACGCAAGAGGCCGCUCAAGAUAGUCGCUUCUCCAGAUGCAGCAUGCAGCCCUGGCCCUUGGGGUCCUCCCAGUGAAGGUGGUGCUUCCAGAAGCCCCAGCCCUUCUCUUUCCUAGCCGAGGGGCUGUGAGACUAUACAACACUUAGCCCAAGACUGGCAUGAGGCAAGAACUUGAUGAGUGUUGGUUAUUAUAUGUCCGCAAUCCCUUUCUAGAAUUUCUGAAGCUCUAAAAACCCAAAGGUCUUUCAUAAUUCGUUUGGCAAAACUAAUCUGACCUGAAUUCAUUUGGCAGCAAAACCUCACCUGAACCACGAUGCCAGCAAUUUGAGUCUAUGCGUACCACUUGGUGUGAGUACUCAUGCAUUCCACUACAGAAAUCUACAAUGUUUGAUCACAGGGUGUUGUCCCAGACUCUACUGAGUAAGUUGUGAGUCUAUGAUGUAAGCACCUGAUUGUCUCUCUAAAAUCGAACAUUAGGACCUAAAAUCGAACAUUAAGACCUCACCCCAGGACCUGUUUCUAUAUGAAAUCUAGGUUCUAUAUCUUACUCUCCUAUUAUCUAGCGAUGUGACAUUAGAUAUGGUGGACAGACCCUAGGGUGGCCCGAAGAUUUCAUGUCUUCUGCAUUAUACAUGCCCUGUAUAAUCCCCUCCCUUUGAGUGUGGGCAGGACCUGUGACUUGCUUCUAAGUAAUAGAAUAUGGCAAAGAUGAAGAGAUUUCAAAGAAAAUUAAAAUCUCAAAUCAGUUGAUUUUUUAUUUAAUCAAAGGGGAAAUUAUCCUGAGUGAGCCUGAGUUAAUCAGAUAAAAGCCUUUAAAAGAGGGACUUGUUUGGGGUACUUGGGUGGCUCAAUUGGUUGAGCAUCUGACUUGGUUUUGGCUUAAGUCACAAUCUCAGGGUCCUGAGAUUCAGCCCCAUGCUACACUCAGUGGGAAGUCUGCUUGAGAUUCUCUCCCCGGCCCCUUCCCCACCUCUCAAAUCAAUUAAUCAAUCAAUAUAAAAAAAAAAAAAAGAAGAGGGACUAGACCUUCCCUGAGGUCAGAGACUCUCAGAUAUUGGUUUUGAAGAAGCUGCCAUGCUGUGAGAGGGUCUCUCGAGAGGGCCAUGUGGCAGGGAACUAUGGGCAGCUUUUAGUCAUGGAGAGCAUCCAGCUGACCACCAGCAAGAGACCAGGACCUCAGUUCUGCAACUAUGAGAAGAUAAAUUCUGCCAAUGAAGGAGUUCUGCCAAUAGCCUGAGGAGGUCUGGAAACGGAUCUUUCCCCACUUGAGACUCUGAUGAGAUAGCAGCCCUAACUGAUAGCUGGAUUCCAGCAUAGUAAAACUGGGAAGCCGUGGGCCCAGAUAAGCCAAACCCAGAAUUCUAACACAUGGAAACUGAGCUAAUAAGUGUGUAUUGUUUUAAUCCACUAGAAUAUGGUAAUUGGUCAUGCAAUAUAGAGAAUCAGGACAUUGUAGACAUCCCUUAACCUCCAGUUGUUGAUCUGCAAAUUAGGGAAGUGGUUGGUCACACCUAGGAGUCUUUACAGUUCUAGCUUCGGAGAUUCUAUGUAUGGGGCAGAUGCCAGAAGCUUUGGUGUUUGGAGGAAGGAGAGUGGUUUUCUUAGUGGGUGAGCAGAUGAAGGGGAAAGGCCGUGGAUGCCAAGGAUGUGUGCCAUUGAGGCUUCUGGUGCACAAGCAGAAAAAAAUGCAGGCAGCUGAGGACUCACCCUGAGUCCCUGAUGACCUGGCUGCCAGACUGGACACUGACCACAGCUGGCAUUGCUCCUGGCUGCAGGAGCGAUCAUCUUUCAGAAGCAGGAAAAACAAGCAUUCUCCUUUCCCUGCUCUGGAAGGGCAGCUUUACCAUG